rnacentral:piRNA from 2 species
CGCUGCGAUCUAUUGAAA